rnacentral:lncRNA from 1 species
UGAAACAUGAUUUUAGAUGUAAGGGAGUCCCUAGUGAGGAGCUGUCUGGCAGUGGAUUGGGGAUUUUCACAUAUUUGUUUUGCACCAAUAAAAUGUCUGGAACCUGGCAUCAAAGAUGCAAUGCUGUUCUCUGGGAAGGGAGAAUGCUCAGCUCCAGCAUGUGCACCAAAGUUGGCGAUGUCCCCCGCAGACCCAGGGGAAGCAAUAUGUGACUUGCUCCCGUUUCAAGAUGCAUUUGCCCCUGGUCCUUCAGAAUCGAUUCGCUGUACCAUGACGGGCAGUGGUCAGCAGAAGCUCAGGGCUCCAGGGAUGACACAGAAGGCUGAAAAUUCUCAUUCUCCUGCCAAGUUCUUAUUUACCACUGAAGUAAUCUGGAGAAAAUAGCUUGAGACUUUGUGUUGUUUCUCCCUCUGGAUUCAAGUUGGAGAAAACAAUGCUAAUUACAUUUCUAACAGCAGUGAAUACAUUUGAAAGUCAAGCUCUUUUGCUAUGUCAAGGAAGUUUUUGUCAUAAUUAAGGAGUGUGCCACACACUAGUCAUACAUAAGAUUUGGAUCUGUACUAAUUCGGGUGAGAGGGGGACCGAGGUGUCAGUAUAGUUUAAAAAGCUCCCCGGGUGACUCUGGUCUGCAGCUGGGGUUGAGAACUGCUCGUGGAGGGGAAAGGGCACGGGCUGUGGAGUUAGACAGACUUUGGUUCAAACCCUGGGUCUGCAUUUUCUAGUUGUGUGACUUAAGGUGGAUUUAUUAAUGAUUUAAAGCCUCAAUUUUCUCCUUUGUCGAGGAAGAUGAAGUAGAGCUUAGUGGGUUUGCAUUGAAGAUUAAAUGAGAUAACUAACAGGUAAAAUAUGAAAUUGCCUGGCACAGAAUAUCUUAUAAAUAUGUGUGCUCUUUCUCCCUUUAAGAUGUAAUCGUUUUGAACAGAUUCCAGUGAUAAUCCUUUACAGAAAAGGGGGCAAGCCCCAUUGACCUUCUGUCGAGAAUGGAAGUAAGAGCACAUUGGUAUUGAUCUGGGUAGAUGAAGGAUGAGGUCAAAUCUCAUUUUACUCUGUGAUGGAUAAUCAUAUAAGGGUUGCAAAUCACAGGUCUCUCAGAAUAUUCUAUUGUUGUUUCAAUUAAAUUUUGCAGUACCA